rnacentral:tmRNA from 1 species
GGGGCUGAUCGGUUUCGACGCCGACGUUUCGUGGACGAUUCGUGCGACCGGAGUUGCCCAGACUCCCAAAACGGGGCACCAACAGAGACGCCAACACGGACGAUCUCGCUCUCGCCGCCUGACCUAGUCAGGCAGUAGAGAGUCAUCGCGACCGGCGACGGCACGCGGGGCCGGUCCACUGCAGCCCGGCAACAGAAGCAGUGGAGACCGCAGGGACAGACCGCUGACGGCGUGAAAGAACGCUGACCCGGGGGAAAGACCCCGUGGCCGGGCCCUCGGGCCCAUCCGACCCGGCGGUGCGGCAGCCAGGAGCCGCAGACUCGGGAAUGGUCGUAGCGCGNNCGNUCACNCNUNGACGGACGGGGGUUCGAUUCCCCCCAGCUCCACAA